GAUGAAGAACGUAGCGAAAUGCGAUAAGUAAUGUGAAUUGCAGAAUUCAGUGAAUCAUCGAAUCUUUGAACGCACAUUGCGCCCGCCAGUAUUCUGGCGGGCAUGCCUGUCUGAGCGUCAUUUCAACCCUCAUGCCCCUAGGGCGUGGUGUUGGGAUCGGCCAAAGCCCGCGAGGGACGGCCGGCCCCUAAAUCUAGUGGCGGACCCGUCGUGGCCUCCUCUGCGAAGUAGUGAUAUUCCGCAUCGGAGAGCGACGAGCCCCUGCCGUUAAACCCCCAACUUUCCAAGGUUGACCUCAGAUCAGGUAGGAAUACCCGCUGAACUUAAGCAUAUCAAUAAGCGGAGGA
rnacentral:misc_RNA from 1 species